CCUACUGGUGGCAGCAGUGGGGAAUAUUGCACAAUGGGGGAAACCCUGAUGCAGCGACGCCGCGUGAGUGAAGAAGUAUUUCGGUAUGUAAAGCUCUGUCAGCAGGGAAGAAAAUGACGGUACCUGACCAAGAAGCCCCGGCUAACUACGUGCCAGCAGCCGCGGUAAUACGUAGGGGGCAAGCGUUAUCCGGAUUUACUGGGUGUAAAGGGAGCGUAGACGGCAGGGCAAGUCUGGAGUGAAAGGCGGGGGCUCAACCCCCGGACUGCUCUGGAAACUGCCAGGCUGGAGUGCAGGAGAGGUAAGUGGAAUUCCUGGUGUAGGAGUGAAAUCCGUAGAUAUCUGGAGGAACAUCAGUGGCGAAGGCGACUAUCUGGCACAUAACUGACGCUGAGGAGCGAAAGCGUGGGUAGCAAACAGGAUUAGAUACCCCUGUAGUC
rnacentral:rRNA from 1 species